rnacentral:lncRNA from 1 species
GGAGAGUUAGAAGCAAGCCACGUGGGUGACUUCUUUUCAAAGUUCUCUGCCUCAGAGGAGGAAGCCCCAUGGGUGGAGGCCAGGCCCGAGGCCAUCCUGCUCUGGGCCAGAGCGUGCCUGUGUCUGAUGAGCGAGGACAUGCCUCGUCUGGCUGAGCCUUCCAUUUCACACCGGCAGCUCGAACCCCCCAUCACGGCUUCCUUUUGGGCUCCCCUCCUCAGGGGACCGAGCUUGAAAUGUGCUUGCCCUUCAUCCCUAAGGCCUGCGUCCCUUCCUCAGAGAGGACUAAGCCCCUCUCCCAGUCUUGAUGUUCUCCGAGGCCCUUCUUAUUCACAGAACCUAUCUGGCUUAUUUAUUCGCUUGCUUGCUUCUGAUGUCUUCUCUUACUGAAAGAAACUGCGUGUGUCAAUAGGAAUCGAAGGGCCAAGGAAUGUGUUUUUCGUUGAUGUCAACUUGCUGCAAAGGACCACACCUGCUUCUCGACCCAGGAACGUGGGAAAGGGAAAGGCUUGGCUUGUUUUGGUGGAGAUGGAGAUGCUGGUAACAGUGGAGGAAUGCCCUCCUUCUGAUUCACAGUGGGGAGGUGCUCUGGGCCCCUGCCACUGCCCGAGGACUUCAGCUUUUGGUUGUCCUGCUGAGAGGAUGCGGCAUUUGAGCAGUAGCUUCUGGAGCCCAGAGUGAAGCCCCACCCAGGCACCCUGACAGGACCACAGGAAUGCUCCUGGCACAGCAAGCAGGACUCUUGAGAAGCUCAGCCUCCACGCUCCUUGUAGAUGUUCAGUUCAAACUCCACAGUUUGUGUGACUCACUGAAGGGCUUGGUUUGGCUCUCGCUGACGAGUCUGUCAUCGGUGCCAGGAGCUGAGAACAGCCCCCUUCCUAUUUGAGGCUGGCCUGUCCAUGCGCACCCUUGGCCUCACAUCAAUGGAGGAUCACCCAUCCCUUCCUCGUGCUAGAAACCCAAUGGCUGUAUUCCAUAAGCCUGCAGGACUCUUGCUCUUCUCCUUAUUUAACUACACCAGCUUAGGAGUAGCCUACAUGCUCCAUCUUCAUUUCCUUACCCCAUCUACUCCACAGUCUACCAUUCUCUUGCUGAGGUUACUUACCUGGCCUCUUUCCUCUACACUCUUUUCCACACUCACUUGUCCAGGUGCACAUUAAUACCUACACCUGACUAUCCUACAGAUAACUCGAAUUCAAGAUGGUGGGGGAAUAAACUCACCAUCUUACUCUAUA